AGCAGCCGCGGUAAUUCCAGCUCCAAUAGCGUAUAUUAAAGUUGUUGCAGUUAAAAAGCUCGUAGUUGAAUUUCAGGGUCAGUAGGUCGGUCGUGCCACUGGUAUGAACUGGUUUUACUGAUUCCUCCCUCUUGAAGAACUGUAAUGCCAUUAAUUUGGUGUUGCAGGGAAUCAGGACUGUUACUUUGAAAAAAUUGAGUGUUUAAAGCAGGCUUUAGCUUGAAUACAUUAGCAUGGAAUAAUGAAAUAGGACGUUUGAUCCUAUUUUGUUGGUUUCUAGGAUUGACGUAAUGAUUAAUAGGGAUAGUUGGGGGCAUUAGUAUUCAAUUGUCAGAGGUGAAAUUCUUGGAUUUAUUGAAGACUAACUACUGUGAAAGCAUUUGCCAAGGAUGUUUUCAUUAAUCAAGAACGAAAGUUAGGGAUCGAAGACGAUCAGAUACCGUCGUAGUCUUAACCAUAAACUAUAGCCGACUAGGGAUCGGAUGAUGUUAAUUUUUAUGUACUCAUUCGGCGCCUUAAC
rnacentral:rRNA from 1 species